rnacentral:rRNA from 1 species
GAUGAACGCUAGCGGUGCGCCUAACACAUGCAAGUCGAGCGACCCCACUUUGCACUUAAUUCAUUUAAGUUCAGGGUGGGGGAGCGGCGAACGGGUGAGUAACAUGUUGGAACCUACCUCGAACUCAGGGAUAGCCAUCCGAAAGGGUGAUUAAUACCGGAUAGUCUCGUAAGAGUAAAGCUUUUGCGGUUCGAGAGGGGCCUGCGGUCUAUCAGCUUGUUGGUAAGGUAAAAGCUUACCAAGGCUAUGACGGAUAUCUGGUGUGAGAGCAUGACCAGACACAAUGGGACUGAGACACGGCCCAU